UACGUAGGGUGCGAGCGUUGUCCGGAAUUAUUGGGCGUAAAGGGCUCGUAGGCGGCUUGUCGCGUCGGAUGUGAAAGCCCGGGGCUUAACUCCGGGUCUGCAUUCGAUACGGGCAGGCUUGAAUCCGGGAGAGGGAUGCGGAAUUCCAGGUGUAGCGGUGAAAUGCGUAGAUAUCUGGAGGAACACCGGUGGCGAAGGCGGCAUCCUGGACCGGCAUUGACGCUGAGGCGCGAAAGCUAGGGGAGCAAACGGG
rnacentral:rRNA from 1 species